rnacentral:rRNA from 1 species
GACGAACGCUGGCGGCGUGCUCAACACAUGCAAGUCGAACGGUGAAGCGCCUUCCUUUUUGGUGGGUGUGGAUGAGUGGCGAACGGGUGAGUAACACGUGAGUAACCUGCCCCCUUCUUCUGGAUAACCGCAUGAAAGUGUGGCUAAUACGGGAUAUUCUGGGUCUGUCGCAUGAUGGGUCUGGGAAAGAUAUUGUUUCGGUGGGGGAUGGGCUCGCGGCCUAUCAGCUUGUUGGUGGGGUGAUGGCCUACCAAGGCGGUGACGGGUAGCCGGCCUGAGAGGGAGGACGGUCACACUGGGACUGAGACACGGCCCAGACUCCUACGGGAGGCAGCAGUGGGGAAUAUUGCACAAUGGGCGCAAGCCUGAUGCAGCGACGCCGCGUGAGGGAUGGAGGCCUUCGGGUUGUGAACCUCUUUCGCCAGUGAAGCAGGCCUGCCUCGUUUGUGGGUGGGUUGACGGUAGCUGGAGAAGAAGCGCCGGCUAACUACGUG